rnacentral:pre_miRNA from 1 species
UACACCUUCCUUGGUAUCUAGCAACUGGCGACGAGCUGGUGAAGGACUCAACGACCAAAGGAUCGUAA